rnacentral:lncRNA from 1 species
UGUGCCACAUCUGGCGACCUUGAGUCACUGUGAAGGCUUGGCACAAGAUGAUAUAAAGCAUCAUCCACAAAGGUCUUUAGAGCCAUGGAAGAAGAGAAGACAGGCUCUCUGGAGGGAUGACCCAGGUACUUUGGUUAAGGAAAGACUGUGGGAAAUGAUACUUGAGCUCCCUCUCCUGCUGCAGAAGGUUGUCCUGGUUUCUUCCCACACGGUAACUCGCUACCCUUGCAGCCCUGUCCCACUAUCUCAUACCCCUUCUCGUCUGAAGGGACUUCAGCAAUGAAGCUGUGGUGGUGCUUGAAGCCACCGAUCACUCCCCAUUUCCAGCCUUUGGAAUCUACAUGUGAACUUCUUGUCUGCUUAGAUCUCUGGAUCUUGAUCGUCUACUUUAAACCAUAGUUCCUUGUGAUCUUGGCACUUGGCAUCUCUACUACCCUUUCCAGCAAGUUUCUUGUUUGUGAAUAGCCCAAUAAUCACACCAAUUGAGCCAUGUAUUAAUGCAGAGAAAAAAUGAACCAUAUUAAAUUACAGCUUAGGAGAAAUGAUCCACACUUAAAAAAAAAAAAACCUAAAAAUUAACAUAGUAGAAUUAAAGUCUAGAAAGGAACAAAUUCCAAAGUGUACCACUUAAAAAUAUUCUUAUCAAAUGCACAGAAAAAGGAGCAGAUGCCGUUUGGAAAUUGUAUCGUGCCCACUAACAUGUAAACAUUCAAAGCCUUCAUCUUCAAAUUGUAAUCAUCUACAUUUUAUCAGAAAGUAUGAAGAGUUACAGCUUUGGAAUUCAGACAGUUGUGGAGUUGGUCUCCGCAUUAACUGUGAACCUUCUCAUAGGCUCCUUCAGUGUUUCUGAAACAUUGUAAGAACCUGGAAAUAUGAAGGUUUACCCUGUGAGCUAUUUUAUGGUCUCUGUCAUCGCCAGUGAGAUUUUUUCACAAACUAAAUUUUUCAGUAAAAUCUAAUUUCCGUGUUGAAUUGUAGUUCUGGUUUAUUUAUUUAUGUUUAAUUCAGGAGGAACUGACAAGCUUUAAGUGGUCCGAGAUAAUUUUGGAUGCGUGGAUCCUGAGGAAAAGAUCCUAAAAUAAGGCUGGAGCAUCUCCAAGAAAAUUUGAGGCAUGAGUGGGUCCUUAGGUGGAUUUGAGAAAACAAAACCGUAGCACGUAUUUGAUACCAUGAUACCAUAUGAUCCCCAAGCAUCAUGAAUCCUUAGGUAAAAUACAAUCUUUCUGUCUGGACUUAACUCUAUUUUUAUAGAAAGAUUAUCAGAUACAUCAGUGAAAGUGGAAAAUAUUGACAGUAUUUAUUUUCUUGGAUUUUUAAAAAAUCACAUUAAAAAAUUGAAGAUUUUAAAUAUACUAGUAAAUUCAUACUUUCAAGUGUUUUGUCAAAUGAUUUCUCAAGAGAAAUUGCUAACUUGUUUAUUUCUUAGUAGGAGCCCAGAAGUUAUAUGGUUGAAAAAUACACUAUUUUAAAACAUGCUGGCCAUCAUGCCUUUUGACAGUUGUCUUAAGGAAAUUACAGACACAUUGUUCUGUAUCGUGUGACACAUUUUCAUAUCAACACAUUUUAACCCAAGCAGAAAUACAAUCCCUUCUUAGUAUGAUUAUGGCAAUAUUAAAUGUGACAUGAGUAAACUAUCUAUCAGCUACCUGGACUAGGGCUUGUGUCGGGAACUCCAGAAGCAGCUGGUCUUGUAAGAUAGACUAGAAGGUGUCUUCAAGGUUAUUUUCUUGUAGUGAUGCACACAACCGUAGUGAUGAUGCACACAGCCGUCAUGGUUUACAUUAACAGCAGGUCAGCUCCAAGCAUCAAUUUUGAACUUGGUGUGCUCACAUUCUAGCUAAAAAUACUAAAAUAUGAGAUUUGAUUACAUAAAUGGCGUCAAUAAUUUCUGAAAAGAUACAGUAAGGAAGGAGAUACAAUUAAAUCGUGCAAAUAGGACAAGAAAUAUCCACCCAGUUUAUACAACAUAUAGAACACAGCACCAUGGAUUCUGUAAGAGCCGAGAAAAUCAUUGUCACGAACUAUUUAUUUUUUCAUGCAGGAGAUGCAGAAUUCACUAAUCCACUCUUAAGCUUUAAGUUCAGUAAUGUGUUUUUCUGGACACCAAUCUCAUCCUCUCUAUUGCUUUUAGAGGCUAAGUAAAACGUUAAGUUUUGUAUGAGCUUCUGGGGUAUGAAGUAAAUACAGGAGGACUGUAUACUCUUUGCAUUGGAGACUCAGUAUUUCAGAAAGCACAGACAGGAAAUAUGCACCAUUUGGCAUUUGGCAUUCCAGGCUUCCAGAAGUUUCCUUAAAAGAUUUCAGUAUUGUUGGGAAUUUCAGAAUAAUCUUUCCUGCAACUUUGGAACACACUUUCUCCCCUUCUUCUAGAGACUGCCGGUGUGCAUAUUUUAAAUCUGAAGAGGAAAAAGAAAGAUAAAAGUCGGCAGGACAAAAAUGAAGACUUGCCACAGAGGGCAGAUUCCUGUAUCUGUCUACUCAGAGCUUGUCUUUGCAAAUUAAAAAGUUAUAGACUUCAGAAUCUCCAAGGAAGCCAGACCAUUUCAUUCCUCCUGCCAGAAGAGAGUAUGUGUGUGUGUGUGUGUGUGUGUGUGUGUGUGUGUGUGUGUGUGUGUGUGUGCACGCGUGUGCUUUUCGCGCACUCACAGUUUGGGGGCAGGAGGCUGCUUUUUUCUUCUCAGUUGCCUCCCUUAAGGUAGGCGUGCAACAUAAUGCCCCGAGCCUUCUCCAGUGCACAUGACUCUUUGUGAUUAAGUUUUCAGACUCAGUGUUACCUAUUAAGAUUUACCAAGAUGUCCUUUAAGAGCUCAGCAGCGAGAACAAUACAUCUGUGCUCCCGUGUUGAGAAAAGAGAAAUACGUUUUAGGGAACUGUCAGCUUGCACUUUCUUUCUCACUUCCACUGAAGAGCAGCAUAAUUUGGUGUGGAAAUUUGAACUCUUAGCGGUUUAAUUACAGACACUGGCUGCAGGGCUCCUUUACCUCAGGAGGAGGAUGGUCCUGGGACUUUCAUGUAGUUUGCAAUGUUAAAGCUUGUUUUGGAGCAUCUGGCUUCUCUAUGGAUUUCUUGUUUAUGGACAUACAGAGAUGGGGACAGGAUAUUUGGUUGGGAGCCAUUUCCUUCUAGCUAUUAAAAGUUCACAGACUGAGCAGUGCUUAGAUUUUAACAGC